rnacentral:lncRNA from 1 species
GAAAUUUCUCUUUGAAGACUACUUUUAACAACACAUUUAGAAGCUAAAUUAACAAACUUAUUACUCACAUAAGUUGAAACAUUGCAUUUGUCAUCUUGAGAGGCAGUGUUCUGGAGAUUGGAAAGUCCAAGAUAAAGAUGCCAACAUUUGGCAAGGAUCGUCUUGCUGUGUCAUCCCAUGGCAGAAGACAUCCCAUAAUGGAAGGCACAGAGAUGUGAGUGUCUUUUUACCAAUAGUACCAAUAGAUAAGAAGAUAAGAUACAGAUAAUAAAGCACAGCGCAUUGCACAGAUCUACACCAAUGGAUUGGAAUGGAAUGUAGGAUUCUCUUGCUGUGGACACCAUCAUAAUGUGAGAUCACUUCUCUGCUCAAUAGGACAAUCAUACUGAUUCCUUAGGAAGACAUAUAGGAAUCAGUAGAGGGAGAUCCUACCCUGGAAUCAUUUGAUAUCCUUGUGUUAUCUUCCUCUACAAAAAGGUAAG